UACGAAGGGUGCAAGCGUUACUCGGAAUUACUGGGCGUAAAGCGUGCGUAGGUGGUUUGUUAAGUCUGUUGUGAAAGCCCCCGGCUCAACCGGGGAGAGUCGUCGGGGACCGCACCGCUUGAGGGCGGUAGGGGCUGGUGGAAUGCCUGGUGUAGUGGUGAAAUGCGUAGAGAUCAGGCAGAACACCUGGGGCGAAGGCGGCCAGCUGGGCCGUCCCUGACGCUGAGGCGCGAAGGCGUGGGGAGCGAACGGG
rnacentral:rRNA from 1 species